rnacentral:lncRNA from 1 species
AUGUCUCAUCACUUGCUGAGCAGGCUUUCUCACAUUGCCUUGAGCAUCCAGAUUCAGCCACUGGGAUUUCUCCGCCCAACAUUACACCAUGGCCAGACCUCAGAACAUUACCCUAUUUGGUUUUAUGCCUACAAUCGUCUGGCCUUUAAUACUUGUAUAUCCCCAGCUGAAAUUUACCCGGGGUCAGAGCAAAAGGGUAAAGGUCUUUGUUAUGACCAUCUGCUUAAUGUGGUAAGGCUAAGGCCAGGAAGUAAAUCCUAGGAGGCUUUCACUUGUGGAAUAAGGCUGCCGGGUAAAUUUCAGCUGGGGAUAUACAAGUAUUAAAGGCCAGACGAUUGUAGGCAUAAAACCAAAUAGGGUAAUGUUCUGAGGUCUGGCCAUGGUGUAAUGUUGGGCGGAGAAAUCCCAGUGGCUGAAUCUGGAUGCUCAAGGCAAUGUGAGAAAGCCUGCUCAGCAAGUGAUGAGACAUAAAAAUGAGGUAGGAAAAUCCACAGUCCUGAGACCACAGGGUUCAUUUCACAUGGCAACGAACAGACAUGAUCAUGUUUCUAAGUGAGUAAGAUUAACGCUGUUGAUGCCUAAAAUGUUAUGGACACAAUGGAAAAGCUAGGCGAUUUCACCACAAUGUCAAUACCACUUAGGCAUGAACAGGCUGGUAAAGCAAGGGGAAUGGAAAGAUGAGUAUGGGUUAAGGUAAAGCAAUGGAUCUUGCAUUCAUAUUGGAGGCUCUGGUAUAUAGUGAAGGUUCAGUAGUUGAUCCAUGUGCAGAAGCCCAAGAGGGCAUUGCAUAGUGAGAAGGACAAGGGGCCAGGCCAUAAGGGCAAGAAGACAGCAAGGUCAUGGACACAACGCAAGUUGGUUGAGAAUACGAAAAACUUGCAACUGUUCUAUGGCCUCAGGAUUGGGACAGGUUGGCUAGGCCUUCCGUAGAAUUCCAGGUGGUAAUGGAACUUUACCAUCUGGUGAGAAAAGUCAGGAGAUUAACGCCACACUGGUAUGCUCAGAUUUGUAACAAGGAGUUAUGGGCAUAUUCCUAUGAAUGAAGGGUUACAACAUGGGGUUAAUGUCAUAUGGGGAAGCCCAGCUUGAAAAUGUCAGAAGAUUAAGUUGUUUGGGGAAGUGGAUUGGGCAUCAAGGAAAAUAUCAUGGCCAAAUGUUCAAGACCUGGAUUAUGAGGACAGAAGUACAAUGUUAAGAGGUUUAAUCCAGGGGCAUAAAGUUUGGUAGACAAUGCCACCCACACAUCCACACAACAUAUAGA